UACGGAAGGCAGCAGUGGGGAAUAUUGCACAAUGGGCGAAAGCCUGAUGCAGCUAUGCCGCGUGUAUGAAGAAGGCCUUAGGGUUGUAAAGUACUUUCAUCGGGGAGGAAAAAACAAAACUAAUAAUUUUAUUUCUUGACGUUACCCGAAAAAGAAGCACCGGCUAACUCCGUGCCAGCAGCCGCGGUAAUACGGAGGGUGCUAGCGUUAAUCAGAAUUACUGGGCGUAAAAGAGCACGUAGGUGGUUUUUUAAAGUCAGAUGUGAAAUCCCUGGGCUUAAACCUAGGAAACUGCAUUUUGAAACUGAAAUACUAGAGUAUCGUAGAGGGAGGUAGAAUUCUAGGUGUAGCGGUGAAAAUGCGUAGAUAUCUGGAGGAAUACCUGUGGCGAAAAGCGGCCUCCUAAACGAAUACUGACACUGAGGUGCGAAAAGCGUGGGGAGCAAAACAGGGAUUAGAUACC
rnacentral:rRNA from 1 species